GGGGGAGUAGCUCAGUGGGAGAGCGCCUGCCUUGCAAGCAGGAGGUCGGCGGUUCGAAUCCGCUCUUCUCCACCA
rnacentral:tRNA from 1 species